rnacentral:rRNA from 1 species
GACGAACGCUGGCGGCGUGCCUAAUACAUGCAAGUCGAACGAGAGCGACCGGUGCUUGCACUGGUCAAUCUAGUGGCGAACGGGUGAGUAACACGUGGGUAACCUGCCCAUCAGAGGGGGAUAACAUCCGGAAACGGAUGCUAAAACCGCAUAGGUCUUCGAACCGCAUGGUUUGAAGAGGAAAAGAGGCGCAAGCUUCUGCUGAUGGAUGGACCCGCGGUGCAUUAGCUAGUUGGUGAGGUAACGGCUCACCAAGGCCGUGAUGCAUAGUCGACCUGAGAGGGUGAUCGGCCACAUUGGGACUGAGACACGGCCCAAACUCCUACGGGAGGCAGCAGUAGGGAAUCUUCCGCAAUGGACGCAAGUCUGACGGAGCAACGCCGCGUGAGUGAAGAAGGUUUUCGGAUCGUAAAACUCUGUUGUUAGAGAAGAACAAGUGCUAGAGUAACUGUUAGCGCCUUGACGGUAUCUAACCAGAAAGCCACGGCUAACUACGUG